rnacentral:snRNA from 1 species
CUGCUCACUUCAGCGGCACAUUGAAACAAUAGAGAUUACAUGGCCUCUAUGUGAGGAUGACAUGCAAAUUUGUGAAGCAUCCCAUAUUUUU